rnacentral:rRNA from 1 species
GACGAACGCUGGCGGCGCGCUUAACACAUGCAAGUCGAACGGAAAGGCCUGCUUUCCCUUGUGGAUUGCGGGUACUCGAGUGGCGAACGGGUGAGUAACACGUGAGUGAUCUGCCCCCAACUUGGGUAUAAGCCUGGGAAACUGGGUCUAAUUCCCGAUAGGACUGCAGGGUGGUGCCUGUGGUGGAAAACGAUUUUCUAGUGGUUGGGGAUGAGCUCGCGGCCUAUCAGCUUGUUGGUGGGGUAAUGGUCUACCAAGGCGGCGACGGGUAGCCGGCCUGAGAGGGUGGACGGCCACAUUGGGACUGAGAUACGGCCCAGACUCCUACGGGAGGCAGCAGUGGGGAAUAUUGCACAAUGGGCGGAAGCCUGAUGCAGCGACGCCGCGUGGGGGAUGACGGCCUUCGGGUUGUAAACUCCUUUCGACCGCGAGGAAGCCACCUGGUUGGAAGGGUGGUGACGGUAGUGGUAGAAGAAGCACCGGCUAACUACGU